rnacentral:rRNA from 1 species
CGCGUAGGCGGUUUGGACAGUUGGGCGUGAAAUUCCUGGGCUUAACCCGGGGGCUGCGCUCGAUACAUCCAGACUGGAGUGAGGAAGAGGGUCGUGGAAUUCCCAGUGUAGAGGUGAAAUUCGUAGAUAUUGGGAAGAACACCGGUGGCGAAGGCGGCGACCUGGUCCUUUACUGACGCUGAGGCGCGAAAGCGUGGGGAGCAAACAGGAUUAGAUACCCUGGUAGUCCACGCUGUAAACGAUGUGCGCUGGAUGUUGGGCGACCUAGUCGCUCAGUGUCGUAGCUAACGCGGUAAGCGCACCGCCUGGGGAGUACGGCCGCAAGGUUGAA